rnacentral:miRNA from 1 species
UCUCAGCUACAUCGGUGUAAAUC